UCGCCACUCGCUUUGGAGUUAGUGGUUUGGUGCCAGCGUGUUGCUACCCCACUCAGGGGAAACAAGGCUUACACAGUACCUACUGCAGCGCUUGCCGAUCUGGUCUGUCCGUCAACCGCACCUCCACGUCGCUGAAUUGUGAACAGAACUGGUUGUAAUCAAACUCGGACAGAGUCUCGCGUAUACUGAGUUUCUUUCAGUUUCCUGACAAUGGGCACCCAGGAGUAGGAGAGAGGGCUGUGCAGUGCUAAGGGAAGAUCUGUAGCGUGAGCUCAAUUUGUAAUGGAUGAGGACAAGCUCCAAAUGCAAAUCUGUGAGAGCAGGCUUUACUGCUUUCACUGCACAUAGAACUAUUUGUUUAAAGAAAAUAAAAAAAAUAAUUGGAGCGAAACAA